rnacentral:rRNA from 1 species
UACGUAGGGGGCAAGCGUUGUCCGGAAUCAUUGGGCGUAAAGAGCGUGUAGGCGGCUCGGUAAGUCCGCUCUGAAAGCCCGGGGCUCAACCCCGGGAGGCGGGCGGAUACUGUCGGGCUAGAGUCCGGAAGAGGCGAGUGGAAUUCCUGGUGUAGCGGGUGAAAUGCGCAGAUAUCAGGAGGAACACCAAUGGCGGAAGGCAGCUCGCUGGGACGGUACUGACGCUGAGACGCGAAAGCGUGGGAGCAAACAGG